rnacentral:rRNA from 1 species
UACGUAGGGGGCGAGCGUUGUCCGGAUUUAUUGGGCGUAAAGAGCGUGUAGGCGGUUCGGUAAGUCUGUCGUGAAAUCCUGAGGCUCAACCUUGGACGUGCGAUGGAUACUGCCGGGCUAGAGGAUGGUAGAGGCGAGUGGAAUUCCCGGUGUAGCGGUGAAAUGCGCAGAUAUCGGGAGGAACACCUAUGGCGAAGGCGGCUCACUGGCCCGGUACUGACGCUGAGGUGCGAAAGCGUGGGGAGCAAACAGG